AUUGAACGCUGGCGGCAGGCUUAACACAUGCAAGUCGAGCGAGCGGCGGACGGGUGAGUCAUGUCUGGGAACCUGCCUGCUGGAGGGGGAUAACUACUGGAAACGGUAGCUAAUACCGCUUACCAUCAGCUGUGCCCAGAUGGGCUUAGCUAGUAGUUGGGGUAAUGGCUCACCUAGGCGACGAUCCCUAGCGGGUCUGAGAGGAUGACCAGCCACACGGGAACUGAGACACGGUCCAAAGUCCUACGGGAGGAAGCAGUGGGGAAUAUUGCACAAGGGGCGCAAGCCGGAUGCGGACAUGCCGCGGGGGUGAAGAAGGCCUUCGGGUUGUAAAGCACUUUCAGCGAGGAGGCGUUACUCGCAGAAGAAGCACCGGCUAACUCCGUGCCAGCAGCCGCGGUAAUUC
rnacentral:rRNA from 1 species